UGGCGAACGGGUGAGUAACACGUGGGGAAUCUGCCUAGGAGUGGGGGAUAACAUUCGGAAACGGAUGCUAAUACCGCAUAGAUUCGCGAACCGCAUGGUUCAUGAAUGAAAGACGGCUUUGCUGUCGCUCUUAGAUGAUCCCGCGGCGUAUUAGUUAGUUGGUGAGGUAAUGGCUCACCAAGGCAACGAUACGUAGCCGACCUGAGAGGGUGAUCGGCCACACUGGGACUGAGACACGGCCCAGACUCCUACGGGAGGCAGCAGUAGGGAAUCUUCCACAAUGGGUGCAAACCUGAUGGAGCAAUGCCGCGUGAAUGAAGAAGGUCUUCGGAUCGUAAAGUUCUGUUAUUAGAGAAGAACAAGUUGAGGAGUAACUGCCUCAACCUUGACAGUAUCUAACCAGAAAGUCACGGCUAACUACGUGCCAGCAGCCGCGGUAAUACGUAGGUGACAAGCGUUGUCCGGAAUUAUUGGGCGUA
rnacentral:rRNA from 1 species